ACAACUUGCAGACUCAACAUCUUAACAAUGACCGAACCGGGUUAACCCGGUCGGUCUAUUUACCUUCAAUAACUUGUCUGAGAACAAAGACAUCAAAAUGGCUCGCAACAGUUCAACGGAUCAGGCCGCCGGUGUGACGGCGGAACGAUCCGAAGCAACCAUAUCAAUUUCCCUUCUUAGGGAAAUUACGAAGAUGGAGCAACCUUUUGGACAACUUCGUUCGCUCGCAAUGAGAGCACUUUUUCA
rnacentral:lncRNA from 1 species